CACUCCUGCGGGAGGCAGCAGUGGGGAAUAUUGGACAAUGGGCGCAAGCCUGAUCCAGCCAUGCCGCGUGAGUGAUGAAGGCCCUAGGGUUGUAAAGCUCUUUCACCGGUGAAGAUAAUGACGGUAACCGGAGAAGAAGCCCCGGCUAACUUCGUGCCAGCAGCCGCGGUAAUACGAAGGGGGCUAGCGUUGUUCGGAUUUACUGGGCGUAAAGCGCACGUAGGCGGACUAUUAAGUCAGGGGUGAAAUCCCGGGGCUCAACCCCGGAACUGCCUUUGAUACUGGUAGUCUUGAGUUCGAGAGAGGUGAGUGGAAUUCCGAGUGUAGAGGUGAAAUUCGUAGAUAUUCGGAGGAACACCAGUGGCGAAGGCGGCUCACUGGCUCGAUACUGACGCUGAGGUGCGAAAGCGUGGGGAGCAAACAGGAUUAGAAACCCUUGUAGUCCCA
rnacentral:rRNA from 1 species